rnacentral:misc_RNA from 1 species
AAGUCGUAACAAGGUUUCCGUAGGUGAACCUGCGGAAGGAUCAUUCUUAAUAAUUCAAUAUCAAUUUCACGUUGUGUUAAAUGUUUAUUUCCACUUUGUUUUAAAACGUAUCACAGAAUUUAAACGAAAUAUGUCAAUGGUGGAUAUGUUGGUAUAUAC